GAGCCUUCAGCUUUUCCAGAAAGUUAAACUCCUGAAGAAGCUGUUAGAGCUACCUUAUCAUAACUUCCAGAUGAGAUGAUCAGAAACAUCGAUGCCACAGCUUUGUCAGCUGAAGAUCAUGAGUUGGAAAGGAGAGGGAAAUUAGAGUACCUUCAGGUGCAGGAAGCAUUCAUCAAGUUUGAGCAGAUGGGAAAAUUCUGCUGGAAGACAUUGUAAGAAAGGGACGUCGGUUGGAAGAUGCAAGACAUGGAACUUUUCUGGAUUGUCUUAUUGAUGAAUCUAGUUUCCAUGUAAUGUAUAGUCGAAUGUGGUCUUCCAGUACGAAGAAGACCUAUCAAUAUGCAUCUCAACUCUUAGAUACAAUGGAUUUCACAGGGAGCCCAAUACGGUCCGUCCCAGACUUUGUGUGUCGUGGAUAAACAUGAGCCAGAUGCAUUCGAUGAAGAACAAAAACCAAAGUUCAGCUGGACUGUCCGACUUGGUUUGGGUCAGUGUUCGUUCUUUCAGACCAUUCAGACUUCCUACUAUGUAGUGUUCAUUUCCCCUAGCUCAACAGCUUCUUUAUAUGAGCAGUUCGUGACGGUUAUAAGAGCUACUCUUCUUGUUUGCGCACCUGAUAUUAUAUGAGCCACCUAUCCAUCUCAAAGGCUAA